rnacentral:rRNA from 1 species
GACGAACGCUGGCGGCGUGCUUAACACAUGCAAGUCGAGCGGUAAGGCCCUUUUGGGGGUACACGAGCGGCGAACGGGUGAGUAACACGUGGGUGACCUGCCCUCAGCUCUGGGAUAAGCCUGGGAAACUGGGUCUAAUACUGGAUAUGACCUUUCCUCGCAUGGGGGUUGGGGUGGAAAGUUUUUCGGCUAGGGAUGGGCCCGCGGCCUAUCAGCUUGUUGGGUGGGGUGAUGGCCUACCAAGGCGACGACGGGUAGCCGGCCUGAGAGGCGACCGGCCACACUGGGACUGAGACACGGCCCAGACUCCUACGGGAGGCAGCAGUGGGGAAUAUUGCGCAAUGGGCGGAAGCCUGACGCAGCGACGCCGCGU